GCCAACACAGUGAUUUCACACUGCUAGUCUCCAGAACUGUAAGAGAAUAUUUUUUUGUUGUUUUAAGUCACCCAAUUUGUAGUUACCUGUCACAGCAGCUCUGUGAAUUAAUUCAGCUUCUCACCAAGAUUUUCACACAGGAGUGUUCUUAUGGCCUUUUGAAGACUGAGUCUGAAAACAAACACCUUAACUGGCUUCAUGUGCAAUCUCGUCAUCCACUAGCAAACAUUACUGGAAUUAAAUGGCAUGUUAAGAAGAAGAGCACGCUCAACCAGCAAGCUGGUGCCCUUUGUUGGAGGAAAACUCCGCAGAAAGAAUUUAUGAAGAAUGGAUGACAGCAGGACACCUUGAUUGCUUGAAUCAAAGAAAACAUUUUCCCCCACAGAAAUGACAUUAGAAGAUUAUAAGGCAAGUUCACAAUUACGUCCCUCUUAUGUAUUUGAACUACUAAACAAUUCUACUGGGGUUGAAGACCUGGUUAAAGAAGAUUUCCUUGGGAAAAUGCCUUGUAAAUAUUAGUUAUAAAAACAAAAUAGUGACAA